rnacentral:tRNA from 2 species
GGUCCCUUCGUCUAGUGGUCUAGGACACUGCCCUUUCACGGCGGCAACACGGGUUCGAACCCCGUAGGGAUCA